UCACCCCUAAACCACUGAAUGCAAUCUUGAUAGCACGAAUUUUGAUGAAAGUGACGGUGAAGAAGCCCAUACUCGAUGAAUCUUAUAGUUUCGGGUUCGUUUGAUGAGACUUUUCGGGUCUGGGAUGUGAAAACUGGUAAGACGAAUCAUGUGAUUUGGGUGCAUUCGAUGCCGGUAACUUCGGUUCAUUUCAAUAAAGAUGGGUCGUUGAUUUUUUCGGGUAGUCAUAAUGGUUCUUGUAAGAUAUGGAAUACGACAUCUGGGGUUUGCCUUAAGAGCCUUAUUGAUGAUAAGGUUCCUGCAGUUUCUUUCGCCAAGUUUUCACCUAAUGGCAAAUGCAUUCUUGUUGUCACCCUUGAUAAUGCUGUUGUAAAAACAGCUCAAUCGGCAAGACGAAGCUCACUUCUUCUUCUCCUCUCAAUUUCAUGGCACUCCAGCACCCGGCUUUUGGUACACUAACGACUCCAGCUCAAAUGAAGUUGGAUUUUAGCAGUUUCAAAUGCUACGACCACUUUUGUCCUAUUAGUGUCUCAAGGUUGAAGCAGCUUCCUCGGAGAAUUCUUGGCAAGUUUUUGCCCAAGGACGUUCGCUCGCGAAGAGGUGCAACAGAUGGCAGUGAGCCCUGUAGUGCAGUUAUCUCCAUUGUAUGGAAGUUUAUGCAAGAAGACUGUUGGUUAUCAAGUUAACAAAAAACUGGCUACUGUUUUCUUUUUCGUAUGUGAGAAAUUAGAUGGUGCUGUUUCUCCAGAAUAUUGAGGAGAAGCAUUUAAU